GAGACUGACACGGGGUGCCCGGGCCAUUGCCUUAAAUCAUGCUGGAAACACCGCAACCGGUGGAUGAAAGCGGGCGGCUGGGCUGAGAUCAUACUCGUCGAACCUGAUGUAGUUAGCACUAUCGAAGGGAAUGUCAUCAUGCGCAAGC
rnacentral:ncRNA from 1 species